ensembl:snRNA U6 U6 spliceosomal RNA
GUGCUCGCUUCGGCAGCACAUAUACUGAAAUUGGAACAAUACAGAGAUUAGCAUGGCCCCUGGGCAAGGAUGACACGCAAAUUCGUGAAGCGUUCCAAUAAUUA